AGGCUAACGAAAGGCUACAAAGUAAAGCCUCCUCUCUGCAAAGCGGGACAUGGAGGACCUCGGUCCACGCCGAGUGAAGAACCGAAGCACAGUGCCCAGAAAGGAGGAAACAAAAAAGGAGAACCAGUGGGGCAGGAACUGUGUCGCCAGGACUUGAAAAAACGGGAAAAGGCCGGUUUCCUCCCGCGUGAGGUCCGUUCCCGCUCCAGACUCCAACCAUUUCCGCUCAGGGUAACCGCAAAACCCUUCCCGCGCGGGAACUCGGUGGAGGAGGAGUCUUGGGUCCCGCCCUUCUGGCGGAGCGCAUAA
ensembl:lincRNA D730045B01Rik RIKEN cDNA D730045B01 gene